rnacentral:lncRNA from 1 species
AAAGAGACGACAUACCCUAAGUAAUGGAGAGGUACUCAGUUCCUAAGCCCCUAAAGCAACUGGGAAGCAAGCGAUUUGAAGUGGACACACUUACCCCAUGAUCAGGUCUCUCUGAAGGCAGCAGAUAUCUAUCAUCUCUCCUAAAAGUGCAGACCGGCGGAGGACUAGUUCUGAGUCACUUAAUGAGGCAGCAGGUAACAGUGGCGGUUUCCUAGGGGCGGGGCUAAGUAGCCAUGCGCACAGCCGGGCGCAGGCCCAGUUGCCUUUCUCGGCCCGCACUCCUACGUGGAAAAGGGGUGUGUGUCAGAGCGACAGCUGAUGAAACCACUUCAAAUGGAGGCAAUGGACAACCAUUGAAGAUUUUUGAGCAAGGAAGUAAAAUGGCAACACUAAGCAGAACAGAUUUGGAUUGUGGGCAUGGAAAAAGAACAAAGAUAAAUGAGUCUGUUAGGAUAUCGCUGCAACUGAAGCUGCAAUGGACAAGAGAAGUGAAAAUGGAAAUUAAUAAAACUCUUAAGUUUUCCAAGGUCAGCAGCCCAAAGGAAGACACUUACAGACUGAUAGCUCUGUACAAGCCAGUAUGGUGAACCAUCAGAUGCUACUUCAGAGACCUCUUAAGAAUCUAACUGUUUCUGUUUUCAAUUAGCUGAGCUUGCACAUUUGAAAAUUGCCACUAGAAGAGGAUGCCAUGAAGAAGUGACCAUGUAGCCCAUUUCAUUUUGCUAGACUGUAAUUUAAUCUUUGGAAAUAAUAAGUUGUUGUUAUAGCUGAAUAUAAACUAAAAGUGUUAUUUGCCAUUUUCCACAAACUUGUCAUAUAAAGAGCAAUAAAACCAUUCUACC